UGCGGACUGGUGUAAUGGUAGCACGAAUGACUCUGGCUCAUUUUGUUAGGGUUCAAAUCCUUAGUCCGCAGCCA
rnacentral:tRNA from 3 species